rnacentral:tmRNA from 1 species
GUACGCAAACUGCCUUGACGCUGUGGCACCGGGCGUAGAAUCCGGAGCGUUGGGGCUGCAAGGGUCCCAAUAAUGGUUGUGAACCACCUUCUUCUUGAAGGCCUUCUGGACGGCGGUUCGAUUCCGCCCAGGUCCACCAGAAGCUUGCGCUUCUGAUGGGCCUGAUCUGGUUUCGACAGGGGGAGAUAGGGUCGUGACGCAACCCGUAACUCA